rnacentral:rRNA from 1 species
AUGAUCAAAAGAGAACGAAGCCGAAGACACCAAGGACCUUCUCCAAGAAUGCUGCACCAAGAACAAUAUCACACUGGCUCGGAGGAGAGAGGGGCCGACACCAGCGGGGCAUAUGCUGUCACCAUGCACCUACGGGCCUCGACACGACACAUCAGGUACACCAUCUUCGAAGAAGGCCACUACCUGCUUGCCUGGAUCGAAGGCGCCGCACCGUCGCAAGAUGAGACGGAUGCCGCCGGAAGAUGGCCACAUAGAGAAGGUCAGUGCAUCCCCAACAAGACGCCGGAGGCUCUCCUUGAGCAGAACAUCGCUGCUGCACACAUCCAAGACGGAAGGCUCACAAACGCCAGCAGACCACAAAGGCUGCACCGUCGCUAG